CGGGGCGCGCGGUAACAGUGUCUUAGUAGGCAGGCUGGCUGGUGUGUCGGGUUAAGGGGGGUAUGGCGGGGAACCGGCGCAGAGGUGAGCGGUCGGCGUAUCUGCCGCGGGGUCCGCGUCUCCGCUGAGCUGGGUCCCGUUCCGAGCUCGCGCUCAGCUUUCUCGACGUCGUCUAAAAAAACCCAGCAGGGUGGUUCGCGGAGCUGCGGUGGGGAUGUGUGUGGGAGGGAGAGAGACACGCCCGGAGUAAGGCUGAAGGAAAGAUCAUGCAGUAGGUGAUUUCCACAUCCGUGGUGGCCCGUGUCGCUUAAGGGGUGUGACGCGAGGGCCUGUACGGAAGCAGACGGUGUGAAUCGGGGACUCCCGCUUGAGGCAGCGGCACCUGUUGCAUGAAUUUGAAGACGGAAACGCACGGCAGGUCCUUUUAAAGCUUCCUAAAUCCGCCGGGAACGUCGUUUGGUGUCGGAGGAGGAACAGCCGUCUGGGUCGUCGCCCUUGGUUCAGUUUAAGUCGAAGCAUAGUGAGAGGGGGCGGGCGGAAAGUCCCCGAGCUCGUCAGUGACAGAGCCACGACCAGGAGCGAGAUUUCUUCGUCUCCAGGCCAUCAUGUUGUCCUCCACAUCGGAACGGCUUUUUUGGAUCGCUAAGCCGUCUUUUUAAGGGAGUGAAGACGGGGAUUGACCUUUCUGUGCAGAAUGAAUCCAAGAAAGGCAAAGUCGAGGCCUGAGUUUCACGGAUGCGAGUUCCCCCUGCCAGACUGCCAGCUAACUACUUACGGUCCGAGCUCUCGCUGUGAGGACUUGCUGUCACAGCCCGUGGAAAUGCUUACCUCGGAAGCCGUCUGAAUCAGACCAGCCACCGUGAGCCUGUAAGCUCACCCCAAGUCCAGGUGAGACGCUGUCGGGUGCCCUGCAGUCAGGCCUCAGCUGUCCUAGGUAACACUACAUUUGGUACUCGUGCUCUUUAACCGUAUUGGGCAUUGCCCCGUCAUCUCUCUCGUAUUUUGAAAUGGAAAUGAAGAAACUGUGUACGCCUCAGAGUUCUACAGAACAGCUUGUACAUUAGCAAGUACUGAAAAGCAUGGGUGUACUCUUACUACCGAGGAACUCGCUCAACUAGACCAUCGUGGGGAAGCCAUGGACGCUCUGUAUUAAGAACUUUUAGGGACGCCUGGGUGGCGCAGUUGGUUGGACGACUGCCUUCGGCUCAGGGCGUGAUCCUAGAGUCCCGGGAUCGAGUCCCACAUCAGGCUCCCAGCUCAAUGGGGAGUCUGCUUCGCUCUCUGACCUUCUCCUCGCUCCUGCUCUCUCUCACACUCUCUCUCAAAUAAAUAAAUAAAAUCUUUAAAAAAAAAAAAAAAA
rnacentral:lncRNA from 1 species